rnacentral:rRNA from 1 species
AAUGGGGGAAACCCUGACGCAGCAACGCCGCGUGAGUGAGGAAGGCCUUCGGGUUGUAAAGCUCUGUCAGAAGGGAAGAAGGUAGUUGGUCUAAUAGGCCUUCUAUUUGACGGUACCUUCAAAGGAAGCACCGGCUAACUUCGUGCCAGCAGCCGCGGUAAUACGAAGGGUGCAAGCGUUAUUCGGAUUUACUGGGCGUAAAGCGCGCGCAGGCGGAUGGAUAAGUCAGAUGUGAAAUCUCGGGGCUCAACCCCGAAACUGCGUCUGAAACUGUUCAUCUAGAGUCUUGGAGGGGGAAGUGGAAUUUCGCAUGUAGGGGUGAAAUCCGUAGAGAUGCGAAGGAACACCAGAGGCGAAGGCGACUUCCUGGCCAAGUACUGACGCUGAGGCGCGAAAGCGUGGGGAGCAAACAGGAUU